CAGGGGUGUACUGGUACAUUUACUGAAGUAAAGGAUGUGAUUACUUCCUCCUCCACUGCCUGUCCGCCCCAUGGCUUCCUAUAAAAGCAGAGCUGCUUCACUGCUGUGUCAGUGGAUCUGCACUCCAGCACUCAGGUUUGGAUCUGAUCUGAAAUUCAAAAAUGUUCGGCCAGGGCAUCACUAACUUCGGAACUCAAGGAACAUGGGGAUCCCAGUGGCAAUACCCAGGAGGGCCAAUGCCAGUGGGAAUGCCUGGAGGGCCAAUGCCUGGGGGAAUGCCUGGAGGGCCAAUGCCUGGGGGAAUGCCUGGAGGGCCAAUGCCUGGGGGAAUGCCUGGAGGGCCAAUGCCUGGGGGAAUGCCUGGAGGGCCAAUGCCUGGGGGAAUGCCUGGAGGGCCAAUGCCUGGGGGAAUGCCUGGAGGGCCAAUGCCUGGGGGAAUGCCUGGAGGGCCAACGCCUGGGGGAAUGCCUGGAGGGCCAAUGCCUGGGGGAAUGCCUGGGGGAAUGCCUGGAGGAAUGCCUGGGGGACCAAGGGGUUGGGGGUGUUGAUCUCACUAGGGUCCUGACCAGUAAAGCAGCUCCUGCAGCAGCGCCUCUGAAAAGAUAAAGAUGUCUGAAUGGGAGGAGAAACAAUCCCAUUUUCCUCCGGACACUUUCAUCCUGUUUCUUUCAAUGAAUAUAAUCAGUUAAUUAACCAUCUAACGUUUAAAUCCUGUGUCUCAUGCAACAUACUAUGCUUUUUAUGAAUUACACAGUGAUUAUAAUUGUUCCCUUGUGAUUUACAACAUUAAAUGCUUUCUGCUCAUCAUUUAA